AGUGAACGCUGGCGGUAGGCCUAACACAUGCAAGUCGAACGGCAGCACAGUAAGAGCUUGCUCUUACGGGUGGCGAGUGGCGGACGGGUGAGGAAUACAUCGGAAUCUACUUUUUCGUGGGGGAUAGCGUAGGGAAACUUACGCUAAUACCGCAUACGACCUACGGGUGAAAGCAGGGGAUCUUCGGACCUUGCGCGAUUGAAUGAGCCGAUGUCGGAUUAGCUAGUUGGCGGGGUAAAGGCCCACCAAGGCGACGAUCCGUAGCUGGUCUGAGAGGAUGAUCAGCCACACUGGAACUGAGACACGGUCCAGACUCCUACGGGAGGCAGCAGUGGGGAAUAUUGGACAAGGGGCGCAAGCCUGAUCCAGCCAUACCGCGUGGGUGAAGAAGGCCUUGGGGUUGUAAAGCCCUUUUGUUGGGAAAGAAAAGCAGCAGGUUAAUACCCCGCUGUUCUGACGGUACCCAAAGAAUAAGCACCGGCUAACUUCG
rnacentral:rRNA from 1 species